GCAGUGGUAGUUGAGUGGUAGAAUUCUCGCCUUCCAUGCAGGAGACCCGGGUUCAAUCCCCAGCCAAUGCA
rnacentral:tRNA from 1 species